rnacentral:rRNA from 1 species
ACAGGCCUAACACAUGCAAGUCGAGGGGCAGCACAUGAUGCAGCAAUGCGGAUGGUGGCGACCGGCGCACGGGUGAGUAACACGUAUGCAACCUGCCUUCAACCGGAGGAUAACCCGUUGAAAGACGGACUAAUACUCCAUAACACAGGGGUCCCGCAUGGGGAUAUUUGUUAAAGAUUAAUCGGUUGAAGAUGGGCAUGCGUUCCAUUAGCUUGUUGGCGGGGUAACGGCCCACCAAGGCAACGAUGGAUAGGGGAACUGAGAGGUUUAUCCCCCACACUGGAACUGAGACACGGUCCAGACUCCUACGGGAGGCAGCAGUGAGGAAUAUUGGUCAAUGGGGGCAACCCUGAACCAGCCAAGUCGCGUGAAGGAUGAAGGUCUUAUGGAUUGUAAACUUCUUUUAUACAGGAGUAAAUUGGGGGACGUGUCCCCUUUUGCAUGUACUGUAUGAAUAAGGAUCGGCUAACUCCGUGCCAGCAGCCGCGGU